UAUGUUGUUCAAAGCACUGGUCGUGGGCAGAAAAGUGCUCCGACGACAAACUUAUUAGGUGCUCAGUCUCGACGAGAUACGCUGGAAGUUCAACAGCUCAGCCUUUGAUAUACGCACCCAUUUGGACCAAAAGAACUUUACAAGCUAAAAAACCAUGAAAAUUGCACUGACCGCCGCUGCAUUGUUACUGUUGGUGCAUUUGGUGGAAGUAACCAGUGAGAGAUCAAGGAACCAAGUUCAUUCCGUCCAGAAACGCUAUACAUUAACCAAAGGUCUUGCUCGCCAAAAAGCCUGCGGCUCCACGACCUGCAAGGUGUCGGGCUGUGAGUCCGGGGGUGGAUGGUUAUUUGUGUCGUAUUCUGCGGGCUGGCACAUCCGGGGCUCUGACCGUGGUUGCUGUGGCAACUACAGCGGCUGUUGCAGGCAUGCUUCCGACGCGUGCUACUGGCACGACUACACGUGUCGCUGUUGUAUCCCUAGCUGGGCUUGUGGACCCCAAUGUAAGAAAGCACCGGGAUGUUGACACCCUGUCAUAUAUAUAUAUCAUUAAUUGAAACGAACACUUACUAACCAGGCCACGACACAGCUCUUACACAGAGAUAACAGUUUGUAGAUUCUACGACGAGAUUCUCGUAAAUGAAACGGUUGAAGGACUGAUAGCGUUUGUAAAAGAACACUGUUACACUAUUAACAAUUUCAACAAUCACAGCUGUCACAUAAAAUAAACGUAACAGAAAUAAAGAAGCCGAGAAUAAAGUUUGCCUCUAGAAUA